CGAGGUAGAGCAAAUCUCAAAAAAACAUCUCAGUUCAGACUGCAGGCUGCAACUCGCCUGCACGAAGUCGGAAUUGCUAGUAAUCGUAGGUCAGCAUACUACGGUGAAUACGUUCCCGGGCCUUGUACACACCGCCCGUCAAACCAUGAGAGUUGGCAACACCCGAAGUCGGUAGUCUAACCGCAAGGAGGACGCCGCCGAAGGUGGGGUUGAUGAUUAGGGUUAAGUCGUAACAAGGUAAC
rnacentral:rRNA from 1 species